CGGCCCUACGGGACGCAGCAGUGAGGAAUAUUGGUCAAUGGGCUUACGCCUGAACCAGCCAAGUCGCGUGAGGGAAGACUGCCCUAUGGAUUGUAAACCUCUUUUGCCGGGGAGCAAUGCAGGCCUUGCGAGGCCUGAGGGAGAGUACCCGGAGAAAAAGCAUCGGCUAACUCCGUGCCAGCAGCCGCGGUAAUACGGAGGAUGCGAGCGUUAUCCGGAUUUAUUGGGUUUAAAGGGUGCGUAGGCGGGCUGUUAAGUCAGCGGUCAAAUGUCGGGGCUCAACCCCGGCCUGCCGUUGAAACUGG
rnacentral:rRNA from 1 species